GUGGGGAAUUUUGGACAAUGGGCGAAAGCCUGAUCCAGCCAUGCCGCGUGCAGGAUGAAGGCCUUCGGGUUGUAAACUGCUUUUGUACGGAACGAAAAGACUCCUUCUAAUAAAGGGGGUCCAUGACGGUACCGUAAGAAUAAGCACCGGCUAACUACGUGCCAGCAGCCGCGGUAAUACGUAGGGUGCAAGCGUUAAUCGGAAUUACUGGGCGUAAAGCGUGCGCAGGCGGUUAUAUAAGACAGAUGUGAAAUCCCCGGGCUCAACCUGGGAACUGCAUUUGUGACUGUAUAGCUAGAGUACGGUAGAGGGGGAUGGAAUUCCGCGUGUAGCAGUGAAAUGCGUAGAUAUGCGGAGGAACACCGAUGGCGAAGGCAAUCCCCUGGACCUGUACUGACGCUCAUGCACGAAAGCGUGGGGAGCAAACAGGAUUAGAUACCCUUGUAGUCC
rnacentral:rRNA from 1 species